rnacentral:rRNA from 1 species
CAGCCGCCGCGGUAAUACGGAGGGAGCUAGCGUUGUUCGGAAUUACUGGGCGUAAAGCGCGCGUAGGCGGUUACUCAAGUCAGAGGUGAAAGCCCGGGGCUCAACCCCGGAGCUGCCUUUGAAACUAGGUGACUAGAAUCUUGGAGAGGUCAGUGGAAUUCCGAGUGUAGAGGUGAAAUUCGUAGAUAUUCGGAAGAACACCAGUGGCGAAGGCGACUGACUGGACAAGUAUUGACGCUGAGGUGCGAAAGCGUGGGGAGCAAACAGGAUUAGAUACCCCCGUAGUCCCUGUCUCUUAUAC